rnacentral:tRNA from 1 species
GUCUGGGUGGCUCAGUCGGUUGAGCAUCUGACUUCGGCUCAAGUCAUGACCUCACCUUCUGUGGGUUCAAGCCCCGCAUCAGGCC